AAACAACGAUGUUUGAGAAAGAUUCUUACACUUGUCAAUAUGUGCAACAGUUUCUCCACUGUAGUCAUGUUCUGUGAAAGGAUGUGCACAUAUUCAGCUUUACAAGAUAAUACCAGAGUUCUAAGGUGAGUGUUAACCUUGGAAUCCAUAGCUUCAGGGGCAGGGAGUAUGGGGACCAGUUAAAGAAGGAAUGGAUCAGAGAAAGCAACUUGGUGAGAUAAUACCUCCUAUCACAGCACCAGAACCUUUGAACACAUCAGUGUCAGACCUGCAGCUUUGUUCAUAAUUGUCAAAACUUGGAAGCAACCAUGAUGCCGAUAUCCUUCAGCAGGUGACCAA